UACAGGGGGGGCAAGCGUUGUUCGGAAUUACUGGGCGUAAAGGGCUCGUAGGUGGCCAACUAAGUCAGACGUGAAAUCCCUCAGCUUAACUGGGGAACUGCGUCUGAUACUGGAUGGCUUGAGUUUCGGGAGAGGGAUGCGGAAUUCCAGGUGUAGCGGUGAAAAUGCGUAGAUAUCUGGAGGAACACCGGUGGCGAAGGCGGCAUC
rnacentral:rRNA from 1 species